CAGAUAAAUGGUUUCUGCUAGACAUUGUUUCUGAAGCAGCUUCUGCACCUAUGUCAACAUUACUCAGUCACUUAAAUAUUUAAAGAAAUAGUUAGUUUGAUUUAUUUUUGUAAGUCUGUUCUGUCAUUCGCAGUUUUUAACAAUUUAUUUCUUAUCUGUAAUUAGUCAUUAUUGGCAAUGAUAAAUUUAGUAGGUCAUCCUAGGUUAAUUUUUUUUGGGUGCGCUAAAGCACACAGUCAUUCAUAAUGGCUACUUAACGUACUGUGAAUCACUCCUCGUCACAGAUGGGUGAUACUUUCAGUCGUGUGAAAAUGUUAAGGGCAGUCGUUGUAAAGUAUUGCAGUAUCAGAUUUUUUCAUGCAGAAGGGUACAGUAUAGUGAAUAUGUAAAUUUAAGUUGUGAAUAGUAAGUAUUUGAUACAUCCAGAUAUUAAAGAUAUAUUAAAAAAAAAAAUGUAGGGGUAUUUGAGAAAUUUUGAUUUUUUUAAAGUUAGGAAUACUAACUUUAGGAUAUCAAGUUUCAAAUAUAUAUUUUAUGCACUUCAUCGUGUUACAACCGUAUGAGGAGAUUCAAUACUAACAGCUGAUAUUUCAGUUAGUCGACAUUUGAAGGGUGUAUUUCCUUUAUACAUGCAAAAUGCGAGUGUGUUUAUAUAUAGUUUGCAGUAUCUCUAAUUGCACAUUAAAUCAGUAGUAAUUUUAUUAUAUUAAUGAAUGCUAUAUAUUAUUGAUCGCCACAUCUGUCUCGUGAGCUGAAUUAUUUCCUCGUGAGCUGAAUUAUUGUCUCGUACACUGAUGUUUUACCUUGUCAUUCUCGUAUCUUAAACAUGUAGAUACGCGCACCUAUUCCAUCGUUCUCCUAAAAAUAAUAAUAUUUGAAGAAAAAAAAGAAUAACUCAUGCAAAUAUAGAAUAAUUAAGGAAGUUUAUUCACAAGCCAUAAAAUACCUAAUUUGGUUUACACAUGAUUUCCUGAAAACAAGCUACAUGUUUUUGGUAAACGGAACUUAUUUUUAGAACAUGUAUAAUGUGCAUUUAGCAAACCGAACUAGGUUAACGUAGAAUUUCUAUAUUAUGUUAUAAUUCUUAACUUAACUGAGAUAAGAUCAUUCAUAUUUCUAUUAAACAUUUCAUUUUAUAAGUUUGAAAAUUACACACAACUGUGUUAUGAUCAGUUUUGUUUUGUGCUAUUAAAUGUUUGUCCCUCAACGCGAUUCGAACUCACACCUUAGCUAUGUCAACUUCAUUCAACUGCAAUGGUCAAAGUUUUACCUGUUACGUAAUGCUAAUCUAGAGAUAGACAUAAAACACGUGUUUUAAGUGUGUGAAGAUGCUAUAUUAUUAUUUAUAACAGUAAUAAAUAGGCUAUAUCACAGAUUUGGUUAAAACUUUUCAUUAAUUUUGUUUCGUUGAACUUAUAUAUAUGUGUGUAUUUUUUUUUUAAUUGUAGCAUUUAUUCCACAAUGUCAUCUGAUUGUUUUUGCAAGUUAUGUGGAAUUAUUUUCUUGCUUGCAUUAGAGAUAACAGAUCUUGUUUUGGAUUGGGACUUCUACGUAGAGGUUGUUAACACAACACAAGAACCUAUAAAUACUGCCAAAAAGCUACACACUGCAAUUCUUGUUUUUGCCAUUUUUGGAACAUGUGCAUGCGUUGCCAGCAUAUUGGUCAAGAUAGUUUGUGUCUUGAGGAAAAAAGAUGAUACAUUUUUCGUAAUACUUUCAUUGAUCUCGACGUGGUUUGAAGACUUUCCCCAAAUCAUCCUUGCAAUGAUUGUGGCUUUCAAGUCAUCCGAGUUAAUUGAUAAUGUACAAGUUAUCAAAGCAGGAUAUGCGAUUGUUGAGGCAGUUAUUCUAAUUCUGCGAUCGAUGUGGCUAUGUCGAAUUAAGGAGAUGUGUAUUAAAUACUGUUGUUGUGAUUGCAUAGAUGACGACGACGACUAUGAUGUUGAUGAGGAGAAUGCAAAUAAGUCAUGGAUCAAAACAGCAAUCAUAUUCGAUCUAAUUGGAGUUGUCAUCAUUCUUUUGUGUGCUAUAAUACUUAUGGUUGAACUUCAGAUAGAUGCUUUCAAAUAUACAAACGUUAUUGGCCAUUUUGCCAAUAGUACCAUGAGUACCUGGAAUGCGACUUAUCAAUAGUUAUCAAAGGUACCUGGCUUGUAAUACACUGAAUCCUUGAUUAUGUUCAGUAAUUGACAAAUUGUAUUGAUAGCAAAUUAAACAAAAACGAUUAAAAACAACUAAGUAGACAAAAACGAAGUUACUUUCUCAAAAGUUAGAAUUUAAUUACUGUGACAUUAUAUGAAUAUUUGUCUAGUAAUUUUACCCUGAAAAAUUACAAAAAGAAAUUGAGUCA
rnacentral:lncRNA from 1 species